AUCAGAGAAGACAACAUUAUACAGGUAAAAUUAAUUGCUGUGCUGCUGCUGUUGAAUUAAAGUAAAACAAACCAUGAAAGCAGGUCUCGUUUUUGUUCUGGCGCU